UCAGUCCAAUAAUCAUUAUUUAAUGUUGAGAAGAGCUGCUGUUGAGUCUCAUAUCAGUGUGUGUGAGUGUCGUUCGUCUCUUUCUCUGCUGGAGUUUGUGUUCAUUUGAGUGUGACGGAGGUUUUUGUACGACGCUUUCACUAGAAUGAAGCACUGUGGUGGACUUUCGGUGGAGGAACUAAACUGACCAUCACUGGUCCCGCAGUGAAGCCCUCCGUGUCUCUGCUGCCGCCCUCUUCUCUGCAGAUCUCUGGAGACUCAGCCGCACUGCUCUGCCUGCUCAGCUCUUACUCUCCACAGGGGGCGACGGUGAGCUGGACGCUGGACGGGUCAGAGGUCACCGAGGGGGUUCAGACCAGCGCAGAGAGCGAGCGGGACGGACGCUACAGCCGCAGCAGCGUCCUGAGCCUCAGCAAAGCACGCUGGGAAGGCGCGGAGUACUUCGUCUGCAGAGUAAGACAUGACGGAGCUGAUCACGAGGCCUCGUUCCUCAAGAGCUCCCAGUGCUGAUGUUUCUCCGGUCCAGACGAGCCGUAUCUGAGCGUCCGGCAGGAUUCGCAGCAGUCACGUGAUUUACAGCUCAAUACUGAAGCAGUCUUUCAAUGUGCUGCCAUUGCUGUUCAUUCAAUAAAGCUUCUGAACGCGUUA